rnacentral:lncRNA from 1 species
GUGCUGUCAAAAUCUUACUCAGUUUCCGAUGCUAGUUACAAUUCCACAUAACAUUCUCCAGGACAACACUCCUGCACACGCUGACUGUGUUCAUUAUCUCUUGCUGCAUAACAAAUUACACAAACCUAGUGGCUUAAAACAACACACGUAUUAUCCAUUACUUGUGUCGGUUGGGAGUUUGCACAUGGUUUAGCUGGGUCCUCUGCUUCAGGGUCUCUCACAAGGCUGCAGACAAGGUGUUGGUCCAUGCUGCAGUCUCAUCUCAAGGUUCCACCAGGAAAAGAUGUACGUCCAAGCUCACAUGGUUGUUGGCAGAAUUCACUUCCUUACAAGCUGUUGGACUGAGGGCCUCAGUUCCUUGCCAUGUGGGCCUCUCCAUAGGUCAGCUCACAACAUUAACAGCUCGCUUCAUCAAAGGCAGAAACAGAGAGUCUGCUGGUCUGGUGGCUAAUUUCAGAAAGCAGAGUUAAGUUUCUAUGUCCCAGAGUUUGGAGGCCUCUACUCUGUAGCAACUUAGCAGCUCCAAGGGAAAGACCUCUACCUAUAGACUGACUGUCGAGCCUCAUCUCAGUAAGAAAAACUCAACUCGGCCUUCCUACGGUUGGGAGCCGGGAAAUAUCAGAGAGAAGACAUUUCCUUGCAAUGUCCUACAGAAGAGAUGCCAGGAUCCUUCUAGUUACAAGGAUUCGGAGGUGCUUAAAGGGUCACCUUCUUCAAGACUCAGCCUGCUCUUCAGCAGUUCUGGAACAUGUUGGAAGAAACUGGAUGAUCAGCGACCUAAUGAAUAAUCUAUUUUAUUCAAUACCAUUUAUUAAUUUAUAAUUAUAUCAAACUGUUAUUUGUGAGUAAAUGUUGUAAUAAAAUUAUUAAAUUUAUUAUGGUUUGUUGUUGUUUCAGUACUCUUUUGUAAAAUGAAGUUAUUAAAUCUUGGUUGCCAG